UACGUAGGGGCCGAGCGUUGUCCGGAGUUAUUGGGCGUAAAGCGCGCGCAGGCGGCUUCGCGCGCCCCGACGUGAAAGCCCCCCGGCUUAACCGGGGAGAGUCGUUGGGGACGGCGGAGCUUGAGGGCGGGAGAGGUCGGUGGAAUUCCCGGUGUAGUGGUGAAAUGCGUAGAGAUCGGGAGGAACACCUGUGGCGAAGGCGGCCGACUGGGCCGACCCUGACGCUGAGG
rnacentral:rRNA from 1 species